UCCCCCAGCAAUGGGCAAAGAGACACCUCGUUGGUGGUGUGGCUCUUAUAUCAGAUAUCAGAGCGAAAGGCAGUCCUUUGUUCAUCCUAGCUUGAUACCCAGCUUGGUGACCAAAAGCUGUCUUAUGCCUAGGACUCAUAA